rnacentral:rRNA from 1 species
UGAGGAAUAUUGGUCAAUGGGCGGGAGCCUGAACCAGCCAAGCCGCGUGAGGGAGGAAGGCCCUAUGGGUCGUAAACCUCUUUUGUCAGGGAACAAAAAGCGAGUAUGUAUACUAGUCUGAGUGUACCUGAAGAAAAAGCAUCGGCUAACUCCGUGCCAGCAGCCGCGGUAAUACGGAGGAUGCGAGCGUUAUCCGGAAUUUAUUGGGUUUAAAGGGUGCGUAGGCGGCGGUGCAAGUCAGCGGUAAAAGCCCGGGGCUCAACCCCGGCGAGCCGUUGAAACUGCAGUGCUAGAGAAGGCGAGAGGUACGCGGAAUGCGCAGUGUAGCGGUGAAAUGCUUAGAUAUUGCGCAGAACUCCGAUUGCGAAGGCAGCGUACUGGCGCCUGACUGACGCUGAGGCACGAAAGCGUGGGGAUCGAACAGGAUUAGAUACC